UCUUACAUGGCAUAGUGGUUUGAGUGUUGGACUAUGACUCUGGAGAUCAGGGUUCAAUUCCCAGUUCAGCCA
rnacentral:tRNA from 1 species